UUAAAAAUGAUGAUGCUCAAGUACUAUUAACUGAUGAUACAAGAAUAGCAUUUAUCGAUGAAAUAUAUACAACGGUAUGACUGCCUCGCAAGAAAAAGGCUGUGAAUCUUUUGUAAAUGAUGCUGAAAUGCUAGAUAUUAAUACAAAGAAAGGCUCUGUCGAUAAAAAUACAUGCUUGGAAGAGACUGCUACACAAAGAGAAAACUGUGAAUCUCUUAAAAAUGAUGAUGCUCAAAUAUCAUUAGCUGAUGAUACAAGAAUAGCAUUUAUCGAUGAAAUAUAUACAACGGUAUGACUGCCUCGCAAGAAAAAGGCUGUGAAUCUUUUGUAAAUGAUGCUGAAAUGCUAGAUAUUAAUACAAAGAAAGGCUCUGUCGAUAAAAAUACAUGCUUUGAAGAGACUGCUACACAAAGAGAAAACUGUGAAUCUCUUAAAAAUGAUGAUGCUUAAGUACUAUUAAAUAAUGAUACAAGAAUAGGAU